UACGAAGGGGACUAGCGUUGUUCGGAAUCACUGGGCGUAAAGCGCACGUAGGCGGAUUCGUAAGUCAGGGGUGAAAUCCCGGGGCUCAACCUCGGAACUGCCUUUGAUACUGAGGAUCUUGAGUUCGGGAGAGGUGAGUGGAACUGCGAGUGUAGAGGUGAAAUUCGUAGAUAUUCGCAAGAACACCAGUGGCGAAGGCGGCUCACUGGCCCGGUACUGACGCUGAGACGCGAAAGCGUGGGGAGCGAACAGG
rnacentral:rRNA from 1 species